AGAGACAGCAGUAGCCACGGUAAUACGUAGGUGGCAAGCGUUGUCCGGAUUUAUUGGGUUUAAAGGGUGCGUAGGCGGCAUUUUAAGUCAGUGGUGAAAUACGGCAGCUCAACUGUCGAGGUGCCAUUGAUACUGGGAUGCUUGAGUACUGAUGAGGUAGGCGGAAUGGACGGUGUAGCGGUGAAAUGCUUAGAUAUCGUCCAGAACACCGAUAGCGAAGGCAGCUUACUAAGGAGUAACUGACGCUGAGGCACGAAAGUGUGGGGAUCAAACAGGAUUAGAUACCCCUGUAGUCCCUGUCUCUUAUAC
rnacentral:rRNA from 1 species